CCAGUCUACCACAAUUCAGCCCCACUGGAGGAGCACUCUCAUAUGGAAAUCUGCUUGUUCUGAACAACAAAUGAAGAUAUUUGUAUGGUAGUGAGUAACUGAGAAAGGUGAGGGGCUAUACUUUCUUUUUCAGACAUCAGAGUUGAUGGCUGAAGCCUGUCAAAGACCUUGAGUAGGAAGAAGCCUCCAAACUCAAAGCUUAACCUGCAGGCAAUGCUCCUGGUUUCAUGGAAAGCAAUAACCAACCAAAGGAGGAAUAGACCGUCCAGACAAAUCAGAGGCUGGCAG